UACGGAGGGUGCGAGCGUUGUCCGGAAUCACUGGGCGUAAAGGGCGCGUAGGCGGCCUGAUAAGUAGGGGGUGAAAUCCUGCGGCUUAACCGCAGGGCUGCCUUCUAAACUGUCAGGCUCGAGCACAGUAGAGGCAGGUGGAAUUCCCGGUGUAGCGGUGGAAUGCGUAGAGAUCGGGAAGAACAUCAGUGGCGAAGGCGACCCUCUGGACCAGCACUGACGCUGAGGCACGAAAGCGUGGGGAGCAAACAGG
rnacentral:rRNA from 1 species